rnacentral:rRNA from 1 species
AGAGUUUGAUCCUAGCUCAGGAUGAAUGCUGGCGGCGUGGAUAAGGCAUGCAAGUCGAACGGAGACACUUUGAGAUUACAUCAAGAAUUGUCUUAGUGGCAGACGAGGUAGUAUAACAUAGGUAUCUUCCCUUAAGUCAGGAAUAACAUAUCGAAAGAUAUGCUAAUACCUGAUAGUCUCUACGGAGUAAAGUUUUAACGCUUAAGGACGAGCCUAUUCGAUAUCAGCUAGUUGGUAAGGUAAUGGCUUACCAAGGCAAUGACGUCUAGAGGAGCUGAGAGGCUGACCCUCACCGAUGGGACUGAGACACGGCCCAUACACCUACGGGUGGCUGCAGUCGAGAAUCUUCCGCAAUGGGCGCAAGCCUGACGGAGCGACGCCGCGUGGUUGAUGAAGUACUUAGGUAUGUAAAAACCUUUUAUGAGGGAAAAAGUUUAUUGAUAGUACCACAUGAAUAAGGGGUUGCUAAACUCGUGCCAGCAGCAGCGGUAAUACGAGUGCCCCAAGCGUUAUCCGGAAUUAUUGGGUGUAAAGGGUGCGUAGGUGGUUUUGUUAGUCUUGUGUUAAAACCCGGAGCUUAACUCCGGAUCUGCACAAGAAACGGCAUAACUAGAGGGUGUGAGAGGUCUGUAGAACUCAUGGUGUAGGGGUGAAAUCCGUUGAUAUCAUGGGGAAUACCAAAAGCGAAAGCAGUACACUGGCGCAUAUUUGACACUGAAGCACGAAAGCGUGGGUAGCGAAUGGGAUUAGAUACCCCAGUAGUCCACGCCCUAAACGAUGUUCAUUAGCUAUUCGGAGUAUCGACCCUCUGAGUGGCGUAGCUAACGCGUUAAAUGAACCGCCUGGGAAGUACGAUCGCAAGAUUAAAACUCAAAGGAAUAGACGGGGACUCGCACAAGUGGUGGAUUAUGUGGUUUAAUUCGAUGAUAAACGAAGAACCUUACCAAGGUUAGAAAUCUAGACGAAGAUAGGAAGAAACUCUUAUCGUCUUCGGACGGCUAGACAGGUGAUGCAUGGUUGUCGUCAGUUCGUGGUUUGAAUUGUUCCCUUAAGUGGGGUAACGAACGAAACCCUCGUCGUGUGUUUUAUUUGUCACACGAGACUGCCCCCUCUGUGUUUAUGAGAUGCUUGCAUUUUAUGGACACAAUGGAAUACUCAAUUUUUUAAAUUUAUUUAUUAUUUUGUGUAUUCCAUUGUGUUCAGAAGAUCUUGCGAUUCGUAAAUAGAGAGGGGGGAGGAAGGAGAGGAUGACGCCAAAUCAGCAUGUCCCUUGAUACCUUGGGCUACACACGUAAUACAAUGGCCGUUACAAUGGGUUGCAAUGCCGCGAGGCGGAGCUAAUCCUUAAAGGCGGCCCCAGUUCGGAUUGAAGUCUGCAACUCGACUUCAUGAAGUUGGAAUCACUAGUAAUCGCAGGUCAGCUAUACUGCGGUGAAUACGUUCUCGAGUCUUGUACUCACCGCCCGUCAAGUCAAGGGAGCUGGGGGUGCCCGAAGUCUGCGCAUUGCGUGGCCGAAGGCAAACUUGGUGACAGGGACUAAGUCGUAACAAGGCACGGGUAGCGGAAGCUGCUCGUG